rnacentral:sRNA from 1 species
AACAAAAAAAGAGGCAAAAAACCAUAUAUAUGUAUAAUCUCUAAU